rnacentral:rRNA from 1 species
GACAGAGGCCUCAAGCGUUAGGCGGAAUCACUGGGCUUAGAGCGUGUGUAGGCGGAUCGUUAAGUGUCUUGUGAAAUCCCACGGCUCACCCGUGGAACUGCUGGGCAUACUGGCGAUCUUGGGCCAACUAGGGGCAACUGGAACAAGCGGUGGAGCGGUGAAAUGCGUAGAUAUCGCUUGGAACGCCGAAGGUGAAAACAGGUUGCUGGGGUUGUGCCGACGCUGAGACACGAAAGCCAGGGGAGCAAACGGG